rnacentral:sRNA from 1 species
GAUUGCUCUAUUCCAGCAGCCGCGGUAAUACGUUCCCGGGUCUUGCACUCACCGCCCGUCACACCACGAGAGUUUACAACACCCGAAGUCGGUGGGGUAACCGCAAGGGGCCAGCCGCCGAAGGUGGGGUAGAUGAUUGGGGUGAAGUCGUAACAAGGUAGCCGUAUCGGAAGGUGCGGCUGGAUCACCUCCUUUCUAUGGAGUCCAAGUUAUCUGCAGGAUAACGGACAGCAAUACAAGCACAAACACUUAGCUCGUGUUCAGUUUUGAAAGGCGCAAGCUUUUCAAACUUUGUUCCUUGAAAACUGGAUAGCGAAACAAACUAGCUGAAACAUCUAUUAUUGCCGCGAUGUUAUGCAUCGCACAUUAGCGGCACGAGUGAAGCAACCUUGCUCUUAAGCGGGCGGCGGAACGACAGUUAAGCUAAUAAGAGCGCACGGAGGAUACCUAGGCACACAGAGA